GAUGAACGCUAGCGGCAGGCCUAACACAUGCAAGUCGAGGGAGAGGUUAUCUUCGGGUAACCAAAACCGGCGCACGGGUGCGUAACGCGUAUACAAUCUGCCUUUCACAUAGGGAUAGCCCGAAUAAAUUUGGAUUAAUACCUAAUGGUAUAUAAGAGCGGCAUCGUUUUUAUAUUAAAGCUACGGUGGUGAAAGAUGAGUAUGCGUUCUAUUAGCUAGUUGGAGAGGUAACGGCUCCCCAAGGCGACGACCCAUGGGGGUUCUGACUGGGUUGCCCGACGCUUGUUGCUGAUUACUUUAUUUG
rnacentral:rRNA from 1 species